rnacentral:rRNA from 1 species
UACGUAGGGUGCAAGCGUUGUCCGGAAUUAUUGGGCGUAAAGCGUGCGCAGGCGGUGAUGUAAGACAGUUGUGAAAUCCCCGGGCUCAACCUGGGAACUGCAUCUGUGACUGCAUCGCUGGAGUGCGGCAGAGGGGGAUGGAAUUCCGCGUGUAGCAGUGAAAUGCGUAGAUAUGCGGAGGAACACCGAUGGCGAAGGCAAUCCCCUGGGCCUGCACUGACGCUCAUGCACGAAAGCGUGGGGAGCAAACAGG